rnacentral:rRNA from 1 species
CCCAGUUCGGAUUGUAGUCUGCAACCCGACUACAUGAAGCCGGAAUCGCUAGUAAUCGCGGAUCAGAAUGCCGCGGUGAAUACGUUCCCGGGUCUUGUACACACCGCCCGUCACACCAUGGGAGUCGGAAAUGCCCGAAGCCGGUGACCCAACCCGAAAGGGAGGGAGCCGUCGAAGGCAGGUCGGAUGACUGGGGUGAAGUCGUAACAAGGUAGC